UGAAGGAUGUGGUGGAGCACACCACUGAGGAUGGAGAGCAAGUCUUAAAGGAUGUUCAAGAGUCGGGAGAGAAAGUGGAGAAGGAAGUCACUGAGAGUGUGACCAACAUUGUCACAGAUGCUGUCACCACACAGUAGAGGGGCUGGGCACACCAGGACAGUGAGCCUGUUGGCUAUCCUCUCUGAAUCUCAAUAAAAAUCCAUGCAAUGUGAA